rnacentral:lncRNA from 1 species
GCCUGGGCAGGAUGACAGUGCCGAUUGGGCCCUCGCAACCCUCUGAGCCUUCUGUGAAUCAGCCUGCGGUGAGGCUGCGCCCGGGCUCCCGGGUGGGGCACCUCCACCCCAGCCUGGCCCUCCUUCCUCUCCCCUUUAGGUCUUGCUGAUUUCUGUCCUCCAGGUCUUCUCAGUAGAAUGAGGAUAAUCCUGAAUUCAGAACAUAUUUCCUGAGUACGGUGAGUGCCCAGGAGAUGGGGGCUGAGAGCUGGCUCCUGCGCUCCUGAGAGCACAGUUUCCUGGGCAGGAGCAGAGAGAAGGCCCAGAGGAAGAUGGGAGGGAGGCAAGGCAAAGGAUGCUGUGGGGAGAGCCCAGAGCUGGGCCGCAGAGAUGUAAUUGCCCAGGCUGGUCUUGAACUCCUAGACUCAAGCCAUCUGCCUGCCUCAGCCUCCUAAAAUGCUGGGAUUACAGGAUUUCUCCUACAGUCGGAGGGAAAACCCGGGAAUGAGGAAUGCUGAUGGACAUAGCACUAUCAGAGGACUUGAUCCUGUUUCUCAGAGAGGAAGACAGACACUCUUAGCAUAAUGAGGGUCAAAAGUUGGGCCAGGCCGGGCACGGUGGCUCACGCCUGUAAUCCCAGCACUUUGGGAGGCUGAGGCAGGCAGAUCACUUGAGGUCAGGAGUUUGAGGCCAGCCUGGCCAACAUGGUGAAACCUCAUCUCCACUAAAAAUACAAAAAUUAGCUGGGUGUGGUGGCACAUGCCUGUAGUCCCAGCUACUCAGGAGGCUUAGGCAGAAGAAUCGCUAGAAUCCAGGAGGCAGAGGCUGCAGUGAGCCGAGAUCACACCACUGCACUCCAGCCUGGGUGACAGAGCGAGACUCUGUCUCAAAAAAAAAAAAAAAAAAGAAAUUGGGGCUAGCAGUAUCGAUAAUAGGGGAUCUCAUACCAAGAGAGCAAAUGGCCCAACAUUCAUCUUCAGAGUAAAGAGGUCUGGUUAAAAAAAAAAGCGUAUAUGUAUACACACACACACACACAACUGAAGAAAACGCCAAGGGAAAAAAAAUGUAAGCUAUAACCCCAGAACACAAAACAUAAUGCCCUUCACCCCUCCUCCAUGCGACCUGCCAGCAGAAAGACUGGGGGUGUGGCAGGGCGGUGGGGGCGGGGGGUAGGGUAUGUUUGUAGCCUUUCAGUGAAACAGGGCAGAGAACUGCUCCUUUUUCUUUUCUCUCUCUCUUUUUUUUUCUUUUUGAGACCGGGUCUCGCUCUGCCAUGCUGGCUGGAGUGCAGUGGCGCCAUCACAGCUCACUGCAGCCUUGACCUACCUAGGCUGAAGCGAUCCUCCCACCUCAGCCUCCUGAGUAGCUGGGACUAUAGCAUUGCCAUUCCUGGCUAGUUUUCAUUUUGUCUUGUUUUCGUAGAGACAGGGUUUCAUCAUGUUGCCCAGGCUGGUCUCAAACUCCUGGGCUCAAGCAAUCCGCCUGCCUUGGCCUCCCAGUGUGUUGGGAUUACAGGCAUGAGCCACUGCAUCUGGCUGGAGAACUGCUUCUAAAUAUGCCCAAACAACUCUUCGGUUCCUGCACUUGUUGCCUCAGAAGGCAGCAGCAUCCUUAGGCUCCAGGGUGGGAUGUCACAAACAGAUGUCUUCAUUUUUAUUUUGUUUAGCUUAAGUUGUGUAAUUGUGACUUAAAGCUGGUUUGUUUGUUUGUUUUAAGGCAGAGUUUUGCUUUUGUUGCCCAGGCUGGAGUGCAAUGGCGUGAUCUCGGCUCACUGCAACCUCUGCCUCCCAGGUUCAAGUGAUUCUUCUACCACAGCCUCCCAAGUAACUGGGAUUACAGGCUUGCGCCACCAUGCCCGGCUAAGUUUUGUAUUUUUAGUAGAGAUGGGGUAUCACCAUGUUGAUCAGGCUGGAUGGUCUUGAACUCCUGACCUCAGGUGAUCCACCUGCCUCGGCCUCCCAAAUUGCUGGGAUUACAGGCAUGAGCCACUGCGCCCAGCCUUGUUUGUUUUUUUAAGACAGCAUCUCACUCUGUACCCAGACUGGAGUGCAGGGGCAUCAUCAUAGCAUCAUAGCUCACCGCAGCCUUGAACUCUCAAACUCCUGGGCUCAAGCAAUCCUCCUGCCUUAGCCUCCCAAGUAGCUGGGACUACAGGCUCACACCCCCAUGCCCCACUAAUUUUUUAUUUUUAUUUUGUAGAGACAUGGGCUCUAUCUUGCUAUAUUGUGGAGGCUGGUCUCCAACUCCUGGCCUCAAGUAAUCCUCCUGCCUUGGCCUCCCAAAGUGCUGGGACUACAGAUGUGAACCACCAUGCCCUGCCCAGAUGUUUUCAGAUGGUUGGGGAUCCAUUCAGCAAAAUAGCUGCUAUUUUUGUUUGGUUUGGUUUGGUUUUCCUUUUUUUUCCCCUGCCCUUAUUUUUGUUUUGUGUAUUAAACAUCUGCCUAAACAUCACCUCCAUGUACCCAGGGCUUGGCUAGGAUGUAUUCAUAGGGGAUGUAUCAACAGGUAGGGGAAGGGUUAUAGCCUGGAAGGAAGUGAGGGAAGAAUUUGAGGGUUAAGGAGACAGAGCAUCGGCUGGGCAUGGUGGCUCACGCCUGUAAUCCCAGCACUUUGGGAGGUGGAGGCAGGUGGAUCACCUGAGGUCAGGAAUUCGAGACCAGCCUGACCAACAUGGAGAAAAAAACCCCAUCUCUACUAAAAAUAAAAAAUUAGCGGGGCGUGGUGGCGCAUGCCUGUAAUCCCAGCUACUUGAAAGGCUGAGGCAGGAGAAUUGCUUGAACCUGGGAGGCGGAGGUUGCAGUAAGCUGAGAUCAUGCCAUUGCACUCCAGCCUGGGCAACAAGAGUGAAACUCCAUCUCAAAAAAAAAAAGGAGACAGAGCAUCAGAGGGGGGAGUCCCUUGAAGUGGGGGAGGGAGGCCUACAUGAGACCCUGCAUGGGAAUGCUCCAAAGGUCUGGGCAGUAAGCCCCGAGCUUAUGGACAAUCAGACCAGAGACCCCAAGCCUGCCUCCCCUGCUUACCCAAUGACAGGCACCUGAGAUACCGCCAGGGCAGCCGCAGAUGGUGAGGAGGGGAGCCAGGGCCCCAGCAUGAGCCCCCUUGUCUACCUGCUCCCUGACUUAGGGGAGAGCCAGAGACAUCCACUGUGCUUCAGGACAAGGAGCCCAGGGCCCAGGUUAUGUGUGCAUGGGAAAUGGGGAAACUGAUGUCCAGAGAGAAGUGACUGCCCCGGGUCACCAACAGGGCAGGGCCAGACUCGGAGCUCAAACUGCCGGCUCCCCAGAAGCUAGGAGUCCUGCUCAGACUGUGGGGAGGGCUCUGGGCCCUGAUUCUGUAGGGGGAGGCGGGGAGGUGCU